CUCGUGAUGCUGAUGAGCGAGAGAAAUGGAUCCAUGCCUUAGAAGAAACAAUUCUUCGACAUACUCUCCAGCUUCAAGGUUUGGAUUCAGGAUUUGUUCCUAGUGUCCAAGAUUUUGAUAAGAAGCUUACAGAAGCUGAUGCUUACCUACAAAUCUUGAUUGAACAAUUAAAGCUUUUUGAUGACAAGCUUCAAAACUGCAAAGAAGAUGAACAGAGAAAGAAAAUUGAGACUCUCAAAGAGACAACAAAUAGCAUGGUAGAAUCAAUUAAACACUGCAUUGUGUUGCUGCAGAUUGCCAAAGACCAGAGUAAUGCGGAGAAGCACGCAGAUGGAAUGAUAGUAAGUUUAAUCUAAUCUUUUGUUUCCCUUUACUUCUGCAGAGCAUUAUAACCAGUCAUAUCAGGAGAAGCCUGAAUUACUACUCAUUUUUCAAUGCCAACUACUCACUGCUUUUUGUUGUUGACUCUUGCAGUUUCCUUUAAGCUCCCUUCUUUCAGCAAUCAUUUGCAGGGGAAAUGGCAAUCUUAAAAUUUUUCUAAGUGUGGGUUCAGAUUGAAUCACUUUGCAUGUAUUAACUUGAAGGGUUAAUCAUGGUAUGAAUACUCAGCUUUUACAAUUAAAUAAUGCAUAACUCAGU
rnacentral:sRNA from 1 species